CCUAGAUACGUCUACCAGUAUAUAUUUAAUACUCGAAGGAAACAAUUACGCAAAAUGCCGUCGCGUAUUUUCAAAUCGCUGAUUGCAACUUCGUUAUAAAUUAUGCAACUGAGAAAACAUUGGUGCAUGCAAAUUAUGCUUGGAUGAAUAUCCUGAGAGAAUCGGGAACAGGUAACUUUGACCUAGGAAGGUUCAAAGUUCAGAAUCACCUUCGUAUGCAACUGACGACGGUAAAAGACAUGAGUAACAUACGAUACAAAUUUCCGACGUUCUUUAACCAGUAGAAUUGACUGUUGCGACGCAGUCUUGCCGAGUAUUUUGAUUUACGCAAUCGGACACGAGAUUUUCAAAGUUGCAACACGCCUGUGCUGAGACAUUAAGGAAUCUCUGGGAUAUUAUAGCUAUUGAGAGAUACGUGCAAAGAGAGACGAAGAUAGUGACACGAACAAGAAGAACAAGAACAAAAAUACAUAUAUAUACUGAAGCCACCGCCAAAGACUGGAGGUGGGAUGUCUAGUGAUACUCGAGUUCUGUCAAAUUCAGGAAUGUCCUCCGUGGUGGUUGUCAUUGUUUCCUGCGAGCGAACAAAAAA